rnacentral:tmRNA from 1 species
GGGGGCGAAUGGUCUCGACCGGGCAGGUUGAGGUCUGAGUGGCGUGUCGAGGUUGCUAGGAGGCCUCGUAAAACACCUGGCACACUCUUUACAUGCCAGAGAUGGCUACCGAAUGGCUGCCUAAGUAAGGCAACCCGUCGGCCCCGCGACGCCUGCUAGCGGGUGCCGGCGCCAUUAGCAGGCUGGCUCGUGCGGCUUGGUUGGGGACCGGUUUCCGGUCACCAAUCGGGAAUGCCUGGCGACGCACGGGCGACACUAAGCCGGGCUCGGUCCGCCGAUGAGCUGUCGGCCGAUCUGCGGCGGACUCAAAUUUAAAUUGACCGAACACACACGUAGAGGCUCAGGCUGAAGUGUUCCGGGACGCGGGUUCGAUUCCCGCCGCCUCCAUUG